ACAAUGAAGAGUUUGAUCCUGGCUCAGGAUGAACGCUAGCGGCAGGCUUAACACAUGCAAGUCGAGGGGCAUCACGGGUAGCAAUAUCUGGUGGCGACCGGCGCAAGGGUGCGUAACGCGUGAGCAACAUGCCCGUAUCAGGGGAAUAAUCCAGGGAAACUUGGUCUAAUA
rnacentral:ncRNA from 1 species